UUGUGAUCUUUGUUUAACUUUGUAUUAUUGAAAAUCCAUAAUGAACAGAAACAAUAUAGAAAGGUCAGGGAGCCAGACAUGAGACAUGCAUGGAAGAAGAGACAAGAAAAAGAAGAGAAAGAGAGAACGAUCAAGCAGCUUUGAGGAACUUCAAGGUCUCGUCAAUGUGUUUCUCAGGCUGGAACUGGUUGUUGUAGAUGAGCUGAACAACACCGUUUUUGUCAAGAACGUAAGUCUGUCUCCCAGGCAAUGCUCCAAACAGGUCACCAGGCACACCCCAAUCUUUCCUGACCUUAUUUCCUUCGUCGCUUAGCAAUG
rnacentral:lncRNA from 1 species